UGUUCUGAAAGGUUAUGUGACACCUAUGAC
rnacentral:piRNA from 1 species